UUGGGCCUAUGAUGAUUUAAGUGUUUGCCUACAUUGUCUGAUUCUUUUACAAUGAAGGAGGAAUCUGAAGCUUUUCUGAGGCCCAU